GGCCUUGACACGUAGGUUGCAAACCUAGAAUUUGCCAAUUAAUUUUGGCCGGGGCUU
rnacentral:tRNA from 1 species